UCCCUACUGCCUCAUCCCUUCCCCUCUUUUUGGGGGGGAGUGAGUGUUUGAGGCAAGGUUUCUCUGUAUAGCCCUGGCUGUCCUGGAACUCACUCUGCAGAAGAGACUGGACUCAAACUCAGUAGCAGCCUGCUUCUGCCUCCCAAGUGCUGGGAUUAAAGGCGUGUGCCACCACUGCUGGGCCUGCCUCACACCCCGGAGUAGCUGAGAUCUCAGGGCUAUGCCAUCAAGCCUGGCUCUCAGUUGGGUUUUCUGCUGAGGGACUCCCAAAGCCCACGAUAGCUUUUUUUUUUCCUUCCUGAGGAGAGAAUCCACUUCCCAGUUCUCCCAGGGUAUCUGAAGGAUUUCCUAGUUCUUCAUGGUUGCAGUACCGAGGACCCCAUCUUCUCCACAUUUGUAAGAUGACGGUCCUUGUUUCUCUCUGUCCACCAGAGCUAGGACUCAGCUUCUAGCCGGAUCAUGCUUGUGUUUCUUGGCCCAAGUUCCCCCUGCAAAGCCUGCAACGGUGUGGAAUCUCUCUCUCCUUGCCCCUGCUCUGCCUCCGAUCUCACUUCCUCUUAGGCUUUUAAGGUCUCCCUACUUUUCUCUGAAAACCUACUGUAGGCUGCAAUGCAUUCUGGGAGAAAUGGCAAGAAAGAGUACUUUGGGCAAGGCUGUCCCAGGCACCUAUGUAGCAGGUAACAGGAGUUUCAGCGUGGACUGGGGCCUUUCAGGAGCCCUCAUAUUUCAGAAGCCAAAUGCCGUCAGAGUUUUAAUUCUGCUUCAUUCAGGAGAGAAUUCACUUUUUCUGAUUGGCCGCCCAGCAAAGACCUUAGGAACCGUGAGGUUUGAAUGCUACGUGCAACACACUAAAAACUUCUAAAAGGUGGGAUGCGAAGGAGGCGGAAGCCUCAUGCCUCUGUUCCUCUGCAGGCCAGGCAAGCAGACAUCGUUCUCAGAAAUAUUCAGGAACCAGAGCCCAGCGUGGGUGAGGGCCUAGGGUGACUGGGCUGCCCCAAGUGACCCUGACCUCUACUGGAAAGGCAAAGCUCAGCCCUGCUCUAGACCAACCCCUCCCCCACUUCUGCCUUUGACUCUUCCCAAAGCGUCCUUGAACCAACAACCUCAGAAAUAAUGAUUUAAUUAUUGGUGUUUUCUCAAUGACAUAAUUAAAUAUCUACGGUGAGGUAAAUUAACCUGAACUUGUUCCGAGGAUGCUUAUGCACUACCUCGGAAGCCUUUUUUUUUUUUUUUUUCCUUUUAAAUUCAGCUUUUGGCUGUUAUGGAUCUAAAAUUAGGUUUCCAAUUUAGGUCCCAGAGGCAAGAGGUACAAAUGGCUAUAAAUAGCACGGAGGUGGCGCGCUGUCUUUAGGGUGCUUCUCUAGGAGUUAAGAGGACGCAGCACAAUCACUCCAUUGGACAACGCAAGCACUCUCCUUUGGUGCGUGAUUGGCCCGUGUGUCAGAUUGUGCCCUGUGAGGUAAGAUGGCUCGACGGUUAAGGCACUUGCCACUAAGCCUGAGGACCCGAGUUUGAUCCCAGAAGCCACGUGAUGGAUUGAGAGACCAGACUUCCAGUUGUCCCUGACCUCCUUGUGUGCACAGGAGUGCACCUGCAUGCAGAGUGGCUUUUGAGGACAUUACAGGUGCAGCAUUAGUGCAACCUUGACUUCAUCAUCUGGUUAUGAACUGACCUCGUUCAUUGGUGCAACAUGCAUCCUGAGCAUCUGGAAGCAGAGGCAGUUUCCUUCUUUAAGGAGUUAAUGGUCAAGCAAAUGGAAGAAACGAGGAAUGACCUCAACUCACCAGGACAGAGGAUGGAAAAUACUGGUGUUGAGAAAGUAGAGGGUAGUCUCAGUGAUGGGGUCAAGUCUGUCUGGGCAGAGAGGGUAGAGAAGAGGACCUGAAGGAUGUCUUUUUUGUACUGCAAUGGUAAGAGACAGAAGCCAAUCCAAAUACAACGAUGCCAUCCCUGGGCAUAAUGUGCCGAAGAAAAACACAGGAAGCUAUUCUCAGAAAUCAAUAGGGCCCUCCUGUUUGUUGGUAUGGCUUGUUUCCCUGCACCGCCCACCUCAAAUCAUCUUUUGAGCUUCUAAACUAUCAGUCGGGAGGAGCUAGGAACAGAUUCUUCCCCAGAAGAAAAUUCAAAACUCUGAAGUGACUGUGGAUAUCAGCCCCAAGGUGAAGGCCAGAGGGACGCUGGGUCCCCAUGAUGGUGAUAUCAUCUCUAGGACACUAUGUCACAAAUUCAGAAGUGAGGCACUAUUCUGGACCACCAGAGAGUCAUUUCACAGACCCGGGAGAUGAACAGGUCAUGAAUAAGAGCAAACUCCUAAUAUCAAAGAGACCAGGGUUUCCAUACUGGGUUGCAUUUUUUUUUCUCAUUUUAAUGCACUUGAUUGUCCUUAUCCGGAAAGCAGGUAUAGUGAUACUUAACUCAGAUGUUGUUCUUGAAAGAUAAGUAGGAAAAAUGGGAAGUUAUCUAUAGAGCAUAAAACUUAAUGUAUUCCCAGCACGUGGGAGACUGAGCAGGAGGACUUCAAUUUCAAGGACAGCCUAGGCUAAAAUAUCA